GACGAACGCUGGCGGCGUGCCUAAUACAUGUAAGUAGAACGCUGAAGGAGGAGCUUGCUUCUCUGGAUGAGUUGCGAACGGGUGAGUAACGCGUAGGUAACCUGCCUGGUAGCGGGGGAUAACUAUUGGAAACGAUAGCUAAUACCGCAUAAUAGCAGUUAUUGCAUGAUAACUGUUUGAAAGGUGCAAUUGCACCACUACCAGAUGGACCUGCGUUGUAUUAGCUAGUUGGUGGGGUAACGGCUCACCAAGGCGACGAUACAUAGCCGACCUGAGAGGGUGAUCGGCCACACUGGGACUGAGACACGGCCCAGACUCCUACGGGAGGCAGCAGUAGGGAAUCUUCGGCAAUGGACGGAAGUCUGACCGAGCAACGCCGCGUGAGUGAAGAAGGUUUUCGGAUCGUAAAGCUCUGUUGUAAGAGAAGAACGAGUGUGAGAGUGGAAAGUUCACACUGUGACGGUAUCUUACCAGAAAGGGACGGCUAACUACGUG
rnacentral:rRNA from 1 species